AAAAAAAAAAAACAAACCCAAAAAUAAAACCUAAGCCUCCGUUUGGUUGGGGGUUAAGGGAUGGAAUAACUCCUUAACCCCCAUUUUAUUCCCAAAUACUUCUAAAAAUGGGUGGAGUUAGCUAACCCCAUCUCAAAUGGGUUAUCCCGGGUUAGCUAACCCCACCUAACCCUACCAAACCCCAACCAAACACUAUUUUCUAUUCAUAAUAAGCCACUAUCUUUCUUAUCCCACCUACUCCAACCAAACACUAUUUUUCACUAUUCUGGACUAACUCCAAUCCCCAACCAAACACAAAAAUACUCUAACCCCAUCUUAACCCUAAACUUAAUCCUAUCCCUGGAAUAACUAGUUUUUUCUUAACCCCGAACCAAACGGUAGCUAAAAGCAUAAUUCACCUCUUCUUCUCUUAAUGAGAAAAAUGUAUGUUCAGAUGAUU
rnacentral:lncRNA from 1 species